GGAGAGGUGGCUGAGUGGUCUAAAGCAGCGGUUUGCUAAACCGUCGUAGGGCUAAAACUCUACCGCGGGUUCAAAUCCCGCCCUCUCCGCCA
rnacentral:tRNA from 1 species